UAAGGAUUUAAGUUAACUAAACUAUCAACCUUCAAAGUUGAAUAUAGAAAUUAUUAUUCUAAGCCUU
rnacentral:tRNA from 1 species